AUGCCCUAAGUGUUACGGUAGCACGUUGGUCUCCAAAACCAAAAGCGUAGGUUCGACUCCUACAGGGCGUGC
rnacentral:tRNA from 4 species